AACGAACGCUGGCGGCAGGCUUAACACAUGCAAGUCGAGCGCCCCGCAAGGGGAGCGGCAGACGGGUGAGUAACGCGUGGGAAUCUACCCAUCUCUACGGAAUAACGCAUGGAAACGUGUGCUAAUACCGUAUACGUCCUUCGGGAGAAAGAUUUAUCGGAGAUGGAUGAGCCCGCGUUGGAUUAGCUAGUUGGUGGGGUAAAGGCCUACCAAGGCGACGAUCCAUAGCUGGUCUGAGAGGAUGAUCAGCCACACUUGGACUGAGACACGGCCCAGACUCCUACGGGGGGCAGCAGUGGGGAAUAUUGGACAAUGGGCGCAAGCCUGAUCCAGCCAUGCCGCGUAAGUGAUGAAGGCCCUAGGGUUGUAAAGCUCUUUCACCGGUGAAGAUAAUGACGGUAACCGGAGAAGAAGCCCCGGCUAACUUCGUGCCAGCCGCCGCAGUAACAC
rnacentral:rRNA from 1 species